rfam:Myotis lucifugus cont2.13630, whole genome shotgun sequence.
CAUGCACAGGUGGGGUCCCUCGGCCUGGCCUGUGCCCUCUUACAAUCCUGGAUCCUUCGGGGGAUGUUGGACAAUUUUGGCUCGAUCCCCGCAGGCCAGGCCGAGGGACCCCACCGGUGCAUG